rnacentral:rRNA from 1 species
GACGAACCGUGCGAACGUUAUUCGGAAUCACUGGGCUUAAAGGGCGCGUAGGCGGGCGGCCAAGUCCGGGGUGAAAGCCCCCAGCUCAACUGGGGAAGUGCCUCGGAUACUGGUCGUCUCGAGGGAGAUAGGGGCGUGCGGAACUUCCGGUGGAGCGGUGAAAUGCGUAGAUAUCGGAAGGAACACCGGUGGCGAAAGCGGCGCGCUGGAUCUCUUCUGACGCUGAGGCGCGAAAGCCAGGGGAGCGAACGGG